GGGGGCGACCGGCUUCGACGUGGGUUGCAAAACUUGAGGAGCAUGCCGAGGAUGUAGCUUCCCUCGUAAAUCACGCUGCAAAACAAUAGUCGCAAACGACGAAAUCUACGCUGGUGACUUAGCGAAGGCUGCCUAAUCGGUAGUUGAGCUUAGUUGCGCGCCGUCCUAAGAAAACGGCACAGUCCAUGCUUCGAGCGUGCUUAUGCGUUUGAAUGCCAUGGUUAUAUACCAUAAGCUUCCGAUGAAAGAUGGUUGGGCUUUCAUUGCAGACUUAACUAACCUAACUCACUUGUAACGCCUGUCGGUCGGCGGCAAGUGAGCGAAAUUAAUGACACGACUACGCAUGUAGAACCAAGAGCGGAGAGCUUGCGGACGCGGGUUCAAUUCCCGCCGCCUCCACCA
rnacentral:tmRNA from 2 species